UACGAACUGUGCAAACGUUAUUCGGAUUCACUGGGCUUAAAGGGUGCGUAGGCGGCUAUUUAAGUAGGGUGUGAAAGCCCCCGGCUCAACCGGGGAAUUGCGCUCUAAACUGGAUAGCUUGAGUGAGACAGGGGUGUGCGGAACUUCCGGUGGAGCGGUGAAAUGUGUUGAUAUCGGAAGGAACGCCGGUGGCGAAAGCGGCACACUGGGUCUCAACUGACGCUGAGGCACGAAAGCCAGGGGAGCGAACGGG
rnacentral:rRNA from 1 species